rnacentral:rRNA from 1 species
GAACAUGAGAGUUUGAUCCUGGCUCAGGAUGAACGCUGGCGGCGUGCUUAACACAUGCAAGUCGAACGGAGUUGAUCGGAGGAAGUUUUCGGAUGGAAUCGGAUUGACUUAGUGGCGGACGGGUGAGUAACGCGUGGGUAACCUGCCUCACACUGGGGGAUAACAGAUAGAAAUAUCUGCUAAAACCGCAUAAGCGCACGGGGCCGCAUGGCCAUGUGUGAAAAACUCCGGUGGUGUGAGAUGGACCCGCGUCUGAUUAGGCAGUUGGCGGGGUAGAGGCCCACCAAACCGACGAUCAGUAGCCGGCCUGAGAGGGUGGACGGCCACAUUGGGACUGAGACACGGCCCA